UACAGAGGGUGCGAGCGUUAAUCGGAAUUACUGGGCGUAAAGCGCGCGUAGGCGGCUUUUCAAGUCGAUUGUGAAAUCCCCGGGCUUAACCUGGGAACUGCAGUCGAGACUGUCUAGCUAGAGUAUGGGAGAGGGAAGUGGGAAUUUCAGGUGUAGCGGUGAAAUGCGUAGAUAUCUGAAGGAACAUCAGUGGCGAAAGCGACUCCUGGACCAAUACU
rnacentral:rRNA from 1 species